GGCCCGACGCUGGGGGGUGCGUGAGAGCCAGAGGCAGCGGCCCCCGGAGGGAGAACACGUGCCAGCUCACACAGGGGGCCGGAGGAGUGCCUGGCACCAGGCCACCGUGCGGGGUUCCGAAGGGGGGCUGUCAGGACCCAACCCUUCCCAGGAAGCAUAGUAACGAUCACCUGUGUGGCCCCAUAGCCUACCUUCGUCUCGAUCCUUAAUUUAACGAAGAAGGGCUCCGUGUACCCCAGGCAACGUGAACAUGCCAAAAGGAUUCGGAAUCACCUUAAGAAAAAUCACAGGGGUCUCGGCCCCACCAGGACCGCUGGAUCGGAAUCUCGCAAGGUUUAACGCCUGCAUUGUUGCAGGUCCUGUCUGGAGGAGCGUUUCCCAAAAAACCCUCCAACCCCGCUAAAUGUCACUGCACAGGACGCUUCAAAAUGGUUCGUUGCACGUUAUGGGAAUUUCAGGCCAACAACGACAGCAGAAAUUCGAAGCAAAUCUUGUCCGACGUCUCCCGUGUGGGGCGAGUAGACCAGCAAGGUGCCAACUACUAAACGUCGAGACGAGAAUGAUUUAUGACCCCGGGCCUUUUUGGAAGGCCCUGGCACCGCCAGGGCUCGAGGUUGACGACCUGGCCGUGAUACCUAGCCCAGGCCACGAGGCAGGGGGGGGCCUCACCUGGAUGGAAAGGCGCCUUGGGAAGAGGGCGCGUUCUGUCGAGGAGGCUGCUUCCCCGGUUGUGCCCACUUGGAGAGUUGGGGGUUGUUGGCUUGGACACCAGAGAGGCCGACGAUGGUUGGCUGGGGCAUUGGGGCCAUGCUGGGAAGAAGAAAGAGCGGCUCCUGGGCAAGAUCCGCAGAGCACAGCCCCGGCUGCGUCCCGAGGCUUCGGGUCUUGGGGGCUCGCCCCUGCUCGGGGAGAGCCGGAGACGGCAGCCGGCAUCACCUGCGCCCCUUCCGCCGACGCCGUCUUCUGGCUGCUCCGUGGCCCCAAGGCCGAGCGCCCUCCUGCCUGACGGCCGUGUCGUCUCAGCGUGGUCUUUACGCGGACUCGCGUGCACUUCCUCAUCCGGCAGGUGGCGUCUCGGAGUCGCCCGGGUGCGAACGGUGACUCGCUUCUUGGCCAGCAGGCCCUGUACCGCACACGAGAGCACACGGGACCACCGAGGCCCGAUUUCUGUCACUGAGCA